AUCCAGCUGACGAGUCUCGAAUAGGAUGAACGCGCGUCCUGGAU
rfam:Schistosoma haematobium scaffold628_18, whole genome shotgun sequence.